rnacentral:pre_miRNA from 1 species
AUUUGGAUCACUUGGGGAUCUUAUUAAGAUGCAGAUUUUGAUUGAACGGGUCUGGGAUGGGGGCCUGAGAUUGUGCUUUUCUAAGAAGCUCUCAAGUACUGCCAUG